AAACUUUUGUCAACUAAGG
rnacentral:miRNA from 1 species